UACGGAGGGUGCAAGCGUUAUCCGGAUUUACUGGGUUUAAAGGGUGUGUAGGCGGGUCUUUAAGUCAGUGGUGAAAUCUCCGAGCUCAACUUGGAAACUGCCAUUGAUACUAUUGAUCUUGAAUUUUGUUGAGGUAGGCGGAAUAAGUCAUGUAGCGGUGAAAUGCAUAGAUAUGACUUAGAACACCAAUUGCGAAGGCAGCUUACUAAGCAAAUAUUGACGCUGAGGACGAAAGCGUGGGGAUCAAACAGG
rnacentral:rRNA from 1 species